rnacentral:rRNA from 1 species
UGGGGAAUAUUGGACAAUGGGCGAAAGCCUGAUCCAGCCAUGCCGCGUGUGUGAAGAAGGUCUUCGGAUUGUAAAGCACUUUAAGUUGGGAGGAAGGGCAUUAACCUAAUACGUUAGUGUUUUGACGUUACCGACAGAAUAAGCACCGGCUAACUCUUUGCCAGCAGCCGCGGUAAUACAGAGGGUGCAAGCGUUAAUCGGAAUUACUGGGCGUAAAGCGCGCGUAGGUGGUUUGUUAAGUUGGAUGUGAAAUCCCCGGGCUCAACCUGGGAACUGCAUUCAAAACUGACUGACUAGAGUAUGGUAGAGGGUGGUGGAAUUUCCUGUGUAGCGGUGAAAUGCGUAGAUAUAGGAAGGAACACCAGUGGCGAAGGCGACCACCUGGACUAAUACUGACACUGAGGUGCGAAAGCGUGGGGAGCAAACA